rnacentral:rRNA from 1 species
GACGAACGCUGGCGGCGUGCUUAACACAUGCAAGUCGAACGGAAAGGCCCUGCUUUUGUGGGGUGCUCGAGUGGCGAACGGGUGAGUAACACGUGAGUAACCUGCCCUUGACUUUGGGAUAACUUCAGGAAACUGGGGCUAAUACCGGAUAUGAGCUCCUGCUGCAUGGUGGGGGUUGGAAAGUUUCGGCGGUUGGGGAUGGACUCGCGGCUUAUUAGCUUGUUGGUGGGGUAGUGGCUUACCAAGGCUUUGACGGGUAGCCGGCCUGAGAGGGUGACCGGCCACAUUGGGACUGGGAUACGGCCCAGACUCCUACGGGAGGCAGCAGUGGGGAAUAUUGAACAAUGGGCGGAAGCCUGAUGCAGCAACGCCGCGUGCGGGAUGACGGCCUUCGGGUUGUAAACCGCUUUCGCCUGUGACGAAGCGUGAGUGACGGUAAUGGGUAAAGAAGCACCGGCUAACUACGUG